GAGUUUGAUCGUGGCUCAGAUUGAACGCUGGCGGCAGGCCUAACACAUGCAAGUCGAGCGGAUGAAGGGAGCUUGCUCCUGGAUUCAGCGGCGGACGGGUGAGUAAUGCCUAGGAAUCUGCCUGGGUAGUGGGGAUAACGUCCGGAAACGGGCGCUAAUACCGCAUACGUCCUGAGGGAGAAAGUGGGGGAGUCUUCGGACCUCACGCUAUCAGAUGAGCCUAGGUCGGAUUAGCUAGUUGGUGGGGUAAAGGCCUACCAAGGCGACGAUCCGUAACUGGUCUGAGAGGAUGAUCAGUCACACUGGAACUGAGACACGGUCCAGACUCCUACGGGAGGCAGCAGUGGGGAAUAUUGGACAAUGGGCGAAAGCCUGAUCCAGCCAUGCCGCGUGUGUGAAGAAGGUCUUCGGAUUGUAAAGCACUUUAAGUUGGGAGGAAGGGCAGUAAGUUAAUACCUUGCUGUUUUGACGUUACCAACAGAAUAAGCACCGGCUAACUUCGUGCCAGCCGCCGCCGUAACACC
rnacentral:rRNA from 1 species